CUCAGGAUGAACCGCUGGCGGCGUAGCCUAAUACAUGCAAGUCGAACGCAGUUACUCGGUAGUGAGUGGCGAACGGGUGAGUAACACGUAGGUAACUUACCUCUAAGACGAGGAUAACGACUGGAAACGGUCGCUAAAACUGGAUAGGAUCAUUUGAGGCAUCUCGAAUGAUUUAAGGGCUUUCAAGCCACACUUAGAGAAAGGCCUGCGGCGCAUUAGCUAGUUGGUGGGGUAGAGGCCUACCAAGGCGAUGAUGCGUAGCCGGACUGAGAGGUCGAACGGCCACAUUGGGACUGAGACACGGCCCAAACUCCUACGGGAGGCAGCAGUAGGGAAUUUUCGGCAAUGGACGAAAGUCUGACGGAGCAACGCCGCGUGAGUGAAAGAAGGUUUUCGGAUCGUAAAACUCUGUUGUCAGAGAAGAACAAGUCGUAGAGUAACUGCUCCGGCCUUGACGGUAUCUGACCAGAAAGCCACGGCUAACUACGUGCCAGCCGCCGC
rnacentral:rRNA from 1 species